rnacentral:snRNA from 1 species
AUACUCUGGUUUCUCUUCAGAUCGUAUAAAUCUUUCGCCUUUUACUAAAGAUUUCCGUGGAGAGGAACAAUUAUGAGUUGUUAACCAAUUUUUUGAGGCCUCACUCCGGUGAGGCU